rnacentral:rRNA from 1 species
AUUGAACGCUGGCGGCAUGCCUUACACAUGCAAGUCGAACGGUAACAGGUCUUCGGAUGCUGACUAGCGGCGAACGGGCGGGUAAUACAUCCAAACGUGCCCGACCGUGGGGGGUAAAGAGGCGAAAGCAUGGCUAAUACCUCAUACGAUCUACGGACGAAAGCGGGGGAGCUUCGGACCUCGCGCGGACGGAACGGCCGAUGGCAGAUUAGGUAGUUGGUGGGAUAAAAGCAUACCAAGCCGACGAUCUGUAGCUGGUCUGAGAGGAUGAACAGCCACACUGGGACUGAGACACGGCCCAGACUCCUACGGGAGGCAGCAGUGGGGAAUUUUGGACAAUGGGCGAAAGCCUGAUCCAGCAAUGCCGCGUGCAGGAUGAAGGCCUUCGGGUUGUAAACUGCUUUUGUACGGAACGAAAAGCCUCGUCCUAAUAAAGAGGGGUCAUGACGGUACCGUAAGAAUAAGCACCGGCUAACUACGUG